UUCACAUCCAGCGUCGCAGAAGCGCCUCUAGUGGCUGUCAGGAAGACAACCACUAAAGGUUGGAUUAACCCUGCAAUGUAAACAUAGCAGUUUCUUGGAAACUGCUAUGUUUACAUCUGAAGGGUUAAAACCUGGGGGACCUGGCACCCAGACCACUUAAUUGACCUGAAGCGGUCUGGGUGACUAUAGUGUCCCUUUAACUAAUUAUUUUUUACAGACAGGUCAUCCCAUCAGUAUACCUAUGUGUCAUAGGUUCAGGAAUAAAGGGAUAAGGAUAGCAGAUAAUAGCAAAUAAAUACAGAUUAGAAUAAAAUAAAAGAUAAGUUGUAGCUGGUGACAUAAGUCAAGCUUCCUUCUAAUCAAACAUUGGACAAGGUUCAAAUUCUAAUAUUUUUUUCCAGCAACCAGUUUAGAUUAGCUCAAUUGUUAUCUAGAGGGCACAAGUCCAAUUAGAAUUUAAUUUACAAAUAUUGUUGUGCAGUCAGUUAUUAUAACUGCAUGUUCUCUCUUGACAAUCUAGAAAAAGGGUAUACCCCGCCUAUAAACUGUGCCAGAUGUCACUCAGUAAAACACUAGUUAAGAGGAAAACACAUUUAUAGCUCAUCGUGAACGUGACAAAGUGUAGCGGAAGGAAGAAUGACAGAUGCUUUAGGUCAUUGUCCUGCUGCUCCGUCCUAGCCUCAAAUCACGCACAGAGUGGUACAGGUUUUGCUCAAGAAUAUCCCUGUAUAUAGAACCAUCCAUCUUCCCUCAACUCUGACCAGUUUCCCAGUCCCGGCUGCAGAAAAACUUCUGAUGGUGUUCUUUGGGUGAUGUGAUGUGUUGGGUUUGUGCCAGACAUAGCGUUUUCUUUGAUGGCCAAAAAGUUAUAUUUUAGUCUCAUCAGACCUGAGCACCUUCCCUCAUACAUUUUGGGAGUCUCCCACAUGACUUUUCACAAACUCAAAACGUGCCAUUUUGUUUUUUGCUAAAAGUAAUGGCUUUCUUCUGGC